rnacentral:rRNA from 1 species
CAGUCGCCGCGGUAAUACGUAGGGUGCAAGCGUUAAUCGGAAUUACUGGGCGUAAAGCGCGCGUAGGUGGUUUGUUAAGUUGGAUGUGAAAUCCCCGGGCUCAACCUGGGAACUGCAUCCAAAACUGGCAAGCUAGAGUAUGGUAGAGGGUGGUGGAAUUUCCUGUGUAGCGGUGAAAUGCGUAGAUAUAGGAAGGAACACCAGUGGCGAAGGCGACCACCUGGACUGAUACUGACACUGAGGUGCGAAAGCGUGGGGAGCAAACAGGAUUAGAUACCCGAGUAGUCCCUGUCUCUUAUAA